rnacentral:rRNA from 1 species
UUAAGGUAGNCAUAAUCAUUAGACUUUUAAUUAGAGCCUAGAAUGAAGGGUUAAACAUUUUUCUUUCUUUUUUANNAAUUCUUUAAUAAAACUUUUAUUAAAAAUAAAAAUAUUUUUAUAUUUUAAUUAGACGACNAAGACCCUAUCAAACUUUACUUUAGUUUAACUGGGGCAGUUAAUUAAUAAAAAUUUUAAUAAAGAUUAAGUACUAAAUAGANNNCCCAACANUAGUUGAUUACANUGAACAAGUUACUGUAGGGAUAACAGCGUAAUAUAUAUCUAAAGUUCUUAUUUUGAUAUAAGUUUGCGACCUCGAUGUUGAAUUNAUAUUACUUUCAAGCGCAAGAGCCUGAAAAGUGGGUCUGUUCGACCCCUAAAUAUAUACAUGAUUUGAGUUCAAAUCGGUGUAAACCAGAUUGGUUUCUAUCUAUUNUUAUUUGUGUCUUAGUACGAAAGGACCUGAAACAAUAUUAUAUAAUNAUUUAUAUGGCAGAAAAAUGCUUUAGAUUUAGGAUCUAAUUAUAAUAGAUUAUCAUACUCUAUUUAACUUGCCUAAUCUCUGUUAUUAGAAUCCUUAUCGCAGUAGCUUUUUAUACCCUCCUAGAACGAAAAAUUCUAAGCUACAUCCAAAUUCG